rnacentral:rRNA from 1 species
GACGAACGCUGGCGGCGUGCCUAAUACAUGCAAGUAGAACGCUGAAGAGAGGAGCUUACUCUUCUUGGAUGAGUUGCGAACGGGUGAGUAACGCGUAGGUAACCUGCCUUGUAGCGGGGGAUAACUAUUGGAAACGAUAGCUAAUACCGCAUAACAAUGGAUGACACAUGUCAUUUAUUUGAAAGGGGCAAUUGCUCCACUACAAGAUGGACCUGCGUUGUAUUAGCUAGUAGGUGAGGUAAUGGCUCUCCUAGGCGACGAUACAUAGCCGACCUGAGAGGGUGAUCGGCCACACUGGGACUGAGACACGGCCCAGACUCCUACGGGAGGCAGCAGUAGGGAAUCUUCGGCAAUGGGGGCAACCCUGACCGAGCAACGCCGCGUGAGUGAAGAAGGUUUUCGGAUCGUAAAGCUCUGUUGUAAGUCAAGAACGGGUGUGAGAGUGGAAAGUUCACACUAUGACGGUAGCUUACCAGAAAGGGACGGCUAACUACGUG